rnacentral:lncRNA from 1 species
CAGGUCCCACCGGCGCUCCACGACGGAGGUGAGCAGGGCCUUGGCGGCCUGCGCCACCGCCCACGCCACCAGCCCCGACACGAACGUCGGGUUCGCCGCCAGCGCCAGCAGGUACGGGCUCUCCCGCGCCUUGGUCACUGCCGCCGCCGUCGUGCUCAUCAGCAGCGUCCCUAUCCCCGCGCCGCCCGUUGCCGCCGCCACGAGGUCGGGGAGCUCCCCUCCCGCGCGGCCGCCCCUCAGCGCCGCGGCAAGGAGCCGGGAGAGUGACGGCGGCGGCCAGGCCGAGGAGGGCGACGGUGCGAGGGCAUCGGCGGUAGGGCCAGGCGAGGAGGCUAGGGUAUGGACGGCGCGGCGGCGGCGGUGGUGGUGCGGGGGCUUGAGGGGCCUGGAGACGGGGUCGAGG